CAGUCAUAUCACAUUGAAACACUGGUUCUUGUAUGAUCACCAAAGUUAAGCAACAUUGAUCCUGGUCAGUACCUAGAUAGGAGACUGUUUGGGAAUAUUAGGUGCUGUAAG